rnacentral:rRNA from 1 species
CACGUAGGGUGCAAGCGUUGUCCGGAAUCAUUGGGCGUAAAGAGCUCGUAGGCGGCUUAGUAAGUCGGGUGUGAAAUCCCCGGGCUCAACCUGGGAACUGCAUUUGUGACUGCAUGGCUAGAGUACGGCAGAGGGGGAUGGAAUUCCGCGUGUAGCAGUGAAAUGCGUAGAUAUGCGGAGGAACACCGAUGGCGAAGGCAAUCCCCUGGGCCUGUACUGACGCUCAUGCACGAAAGCGUGGGGAGCAAACAGG